UACGUAGGGGGCGAGCGUUGUCCGGAGUUACUGGGCGUAAAGGGCAUGCAGGCGGUCGGACGCGUUUCGGGUGACAGCGGGUGGCUUAACUACCCGAGUGGUCGAAAGACGGUUUGACUUGAGGACGCGAGAGGGACACGGAAUUCCGGGUGGAGUGGUGAAAUGCGUAGAGAUCCGGAGGAACACCGAAGGCGAAGGCAGUGUCCUGGCGCGUAACUGACGCUGAGGUGCGAAAGCCAGGGAGCGAACGGG
rnacentral:rRNA from 1 species